AGUGAACGCUGGCGGUAGGCCUACACAUGCAAGUCGAACGGCAGCACAGUAAGAGCUUGCUCUUACGGGUGGCGAGUGGCGGACGGGUGAGGAAUACAUCGGAAUCUACUUUUUCGUGGGGGAUAACGUAGGGAAACUUACGCUAAUACCGCAUACGACCUACGGGUGAAAGCAGGGGAUCUUCGGACCUUGCGCGAUUGAAUGAGCCGAUGUCGGAUUAGCUAGUUGGCGGGGUAAAGGCCCAUCAAGGCGACGAUCCGUAGCUAGUCUGAGAGGAUGAUCAGCCACACUGGAACUGAGACACGGUCCAGACUCCUACGGGAGGCAGCAGUGGGGAAUAUUGGACAAUGGGCGCAAGCCUGAUCCAGCCAUACCGCGUGGGUGAAGAAGGCCUUCGGGUUGUAAAGCCCUUUUGUUGGGAAAGAAAAGCAGCAGGUUAAUACCCCGCUGUUCUGACGGUACCCAAAGAAUAAGCACCGGCUAACUUCGUG
rnacentral:rRNA from 1 species